rnacentral:rRNA from 1 species
GACGAACGCUGGCGGCGUGCUUAACACAUGCAAGUCGAGCGGUAAGGCCCUUUCGGGGUACGACGAGCGGCGAACGGGUGAGUAACACGUGGGUGACCUGCCCUCAGCUCUGGGAGUAAGCCUGGGAAACCGGGUCUAAUACCGGAUAUGACUCCAUGACGCAUGUUGUGGGGUGGAAAGCCUUGUGCGGCUGAGGAUGGGCCCGCGGCCUAUCAGCUUGUUGGUGGGGUGAGGCCUACCAAGGCGACGACGGGUAGCCGGCCUGAGAGGGCGACCGGCCGACACUGGGACUGAGACACGGCCCAGACUCCUACGGGA